UCGGGAGUCGUCUAAUGGUAGGACAGCAGAUUCUGAAUCUGCUUAUCGGGGUUCAAGUCCCUGCUCCCGAGCAA
rnacentral:tRNA from 4 species